rnacentral:misc_RNA from 1 species
AACGCACAUUGCGCCCCUUGGUAUUCCGGGGGGCAUGCCUGUUCGAGCGUCAUUUCAACCCUCAAGCUAAGCUUGGUCUUGGGCACUGCCGGUUACGGCUUGCCUUAAAAGCAGUGGCGGUGCCAUCGAGCUCUACGCGCAGUAAUUAACCUCUCGCGAUUGAGUCUUGGUGGAUGCUUGCCAGCAACCCUCAAUUUUUUUAUGGUUGACCUCGGAUCAGGUAGGGAUACCCGCUGAACUUAA